rnacentral:rRNA from 1 species
GGGGAAUUUUCCGCAAUGGGCGCAAGCCUGACGGAGCAACGCCGCGUGAGGGAGGAAGGCCUGUGGGUUGUAAACCUCUUUUCUCAAGGAAGAACACAAUGACGGUACUUGAGGAAUCAGCAUCGGCUAACUCCGUGCCAGCAGCCGCGGUAAGACGGAGGAUGCAAGCGUUAUCCGGAAUUAUUGGGCGUAAAGCGUCCGUAGGUGGUUAUAAAAGUCUGUUGUUAAAGCCCACAGCUCAACUGUGGAUCGGCAAUGGAAACUGUAUGACUUGAGUGUGGUAGGGGUAGAGGGAAUUCCUAGUGUAGCGGUGAGAUGCGUAGAUAUUAGGAAGAACGCCAGUGGCGAAGGCGCUCUACUGGGCCAUAACUGACACUGAUGGACGAAAGCUAGGGGAGCGAAAGGGAUUAGAUACCCCUGUAGUC